rnacentral:lncRNA from 1 species
GAAUCACUCUGAUGCAUGUUGUCCGAUGUGAUCCCAUUCAUUAUAAUUUUUUUAUUUUUUAUUUGACCUUGACCCUAUAGAAAUGGGGUCAGCCCUCAUUAUUUGCAAAUUCAUAUAUUGUUGCAUUUGUAUGGUGUGCCACCUCUUACUUGGGACACUGAAUUUGUUAGAAAGAUUAUUUUUAGUUUUCUCCAACUUGAUCAAGUUAGUCCUACA